GAUGAACGCUGGCUACAGGCUUAACACAUGCAAGUCGAGGGGAAACGACGGGGAAGCUUGCUUCCCCGGGCGUCGACCGGCGCACGGGUGAGUAACGCGUAUCCAACCUGCCUCUGACUGAGGGAUAACCCGUCGAAAGUCGGCCUAAUACCUCAUGGCAUCGUCUGCGGGCAUCCAACGACGAUUAAAGAUUUCAUCGGUCAGAGAUGGGGAUGCGUCUGAUUAGCUUGUUGGCGGGGUAACGGCCCACCAAGGCGACGAUCAGUAGGGGUUCUGAGAGGAAGGUCCCCCACAUUGGAACUGAGACACGGUCCAAACUCCUACGGGAGGCAGCAGUGAGGAAUAUUGGUCAAUGGGCGAGAGCCUGAACCAGCCAAGUAGCGUGCAGGAUGACGGCCCUAUGGGUUGUAAACUGCUUUUAUGCGGGGAUAAAGUGAGGGACGUGUCCUUCAUUGCAGGUACCGCAUGAAUAAGGACCGGCUAAUUCCGUG
rnacentral:rRNA from 1 species